rnacentral:rRNA from 1 species
AUUGAACGCUGGCGGCAGGCCUAACACAUGCAAGUCGAGCGGAGCGGCGGACGGGUGAGGAAUGCCUAGGAAUCUGCCUGGUAGUGGGGGAUAACGUCCGGAAACGGGCGCUAAUACAGCAUAAUAACAGAUGAGCAUAGGUCGGAUUAGCUAGUUGGUGGGGUAAAGGACUACCAAGGCGACGAUCCGUCACUGGUUUGAGCUGAUGAUAAGUCAAACUGGAACUUAGACACGGUCCAGACGCCGACGGGAGGCAGCAGUGGGGAAUAUUGGACAAUGGGCGAAAGCCUGCUACAGCCAUGCCGCGUGUGUGAAGAAGGUCUUCGGAUUGGAAAGCACUUUAAGUUGUGAGGCGUUACCAACAGAAUAAGCACCGGCUAACUUCGUGCCAGCCGCCGCGGUAAUUC